rnacentral:rRNA from 1 species
UACGUAGGGGGCGAGCGUUGUCCGGAAUCACUGGGCGUAAAGCGCACGUAGGCGGAUCUUUAAGUCAGGGGUGAAAUCCUGGAGCUCAACUCCAGAACUGCCUUUGAUACUGGGGAUCUCGAGUCCGGGAGAGGUGAGUGGAACUCCGAGUGUAGAGGUGAAAUUCGUAGAUAUUCGGAAGAACACCAGUGGCGAAGGCGGCUCACUGGCCCGGUACUGACGCUGAGGUGCGAAAGCGUGGGGAGCAAACAGG